GAAACAGGCCAUUGUGGAUAUAUACAAGCACAGAAGAACAAGUAAAUAUAAUCGACAGAGAACUAAAGCCGACGAGGUCUCGACAGGCGAAAUAUGGAUCCUGCAGAGAGAGUGGUGAAGGCGGCAUGGUACAAGGGCGCUGUCGUCACUCAUAGGCCGAAGCCUGUUUCGCCUAUCGUUAACCAGAGCAAGAACAAGAACAAGCAAGCCAAGAAGCCCAAACCAGCUGCACCCAGCAAGAAGUGAUAAACUUAACUGGCUGCCUGCCUCUACUACACAGUAUGUAUGCAAACCGAAAGACUGGCUAAUUAGGGGGUUUAAUCUUCAGGAUUCAGUUCAGGUUUGAGCUGAACACUGAAGAAGUGAAGAGUACUUGGAUACAGUUAAUUUUACCUGUUCAAACUUCAAACAGUCCUACAGGAUGCCGGAUGUAUGUGUGUUGUGAGAAUAAAAUGAUUGAGAUACUAUACUCUGUGAUGUUCAUAUUGACCUCCUGGUUGAAAUUUGGGAAUAAAUUAUUUCUGGAAA